CACCUACGGGUGGCAGCAGUGAGGAAUAUUGGACAAUGGGCGGGAGCCUGAUCCAGCCAUGCCGCGUGCAGGAAGACGGCCCUAUGGGUUGUAAACUGCUUUUAUACGGGAAGAAAAACAGCUACGUGUAGUUGACUGACGGUACCGUAAGAAUAAGGACCGGCUAACUCCGUGCCAGCAGCCGCGGUAAUACGGAGGGUCCGAGCGUUAUCCGGAAUUAUUGGGUUUAAAGGGUCCGUAGGCGGGCCAUUAAGUCAGUGGUGAAAGUCUGCAGCUCAACUGUAGAAUUGCCUUUGAUACUGGUGGUCUUGAGUUAUGGUGAAGUGGCUGGAAUAUGUAGUGUAGCGGUGAAAUGCAUAGAUAUUACAUAGAACACCGAUUGCGAAGGCAGGUCACUAACCGUAUACUGACGCUGAUGGACGAAAGCGUGGGGAGCGAACAGGAUUAGAUACCCUGGUAGUCCACGCCGUAAACGAUGGAUACUAGCUGUCCGGGUCCUUGAGGCCUGGGCGGCCAAGCGAAAGUGAUAAGUAUCCCACCUGGGGAGUACGUUCGCAAGAAUGAAACUCAAAGGAAUUGACGGGGGCCCGCACAAGCGGUGGAGCAUGUGGUUUAAUUCGAUGAUACGCGAGGAACCUUACCAGGGCUUAAAUGCAUAUUGACAGGUCUAGAGAUAGAUUUUCCUUCGGGCAAUUUGCAAGGUGCUGCAUGGUCGUCGUCAGCUCGUGCCGUGAGGUGUCAGGUUAAGUCCUAUAACGAGCGCAACCCCUACCGUUAGUUGCCAGCGAUUCAAGUCGGGGACUCUAACGGGACUGCCGGUGCAAACCGUGAGGAAGGUGGGGAUGACGUCAAAUCAUCACGGCCCUUACGUCCUGGGCCACACACGUGCUACAAUGGCCGGUACAGAGAGCAGCCACUUGGUGACAAGGAGCGAAUCUAUAAAACCGGUCACAGUUCGGAUCGGGGUCUGCAACUCGACCCCGUGAAGCUGGAAUCGCUAGUAAUCGGAUAUCAGCCAUGAUCCGGUGAAUACGUUCCCGGGCCUUGUACACACCGCCCGUC
rnacentral:rRNA from 1 species